rnacentral:rRNA from 1 species
GUUGGGUAGGGGAGCGUUCUGUAAGCCUGCGAAGGUGGCCUGUGAGGGUUGCUGGAGGUAUCAGAAGUGCGAAUGCUGACAUAAGUAACGAUAAAGCGGGUGAAAAGCCCGCUCGCCGGAAGACCAAGGGUUCCUGUCCAACGUUAAUCGGGGCAGGGUGAGUCGACCCCUAAGGCGAGGCCGAAAGGCGUAGUCGAUGGGAAACGGGUUAAUAUUCCCGUACUUGGUGUUACUGCGAAGGGGGGACGGAGAAGGCUAUGUUGGCCGGGCGACGGUUGUCCCGGUUUAAGCGUGUAGGUGUGUGUUCCAGGUAAAUCCGGUUCACUUUAACACUGAGGCGUGACGACGAGGCACUACGGUGCUGAAGCAACAAAUGCCCUGCUUCCAGGAAAAGCCUCUAAGCAUCAGGUAACAUCAAAUCGUACCCCAAACCGACACAGGUGGUCAGGUAGAGAAUACCAAGGCGCUUGAGAGAACUCGGGUGAAGGAACUAGGCAAAAUGGUGCCGUAACUUCGGGAGAAGGCACGCUGACACGUAGGUGAAGUGAUUUACUCAUGGAGCUGAAGUCAGUCGAAGAUACCAGCUGGCUGCAACUGUUUAUUAAAAACACAGCACUGUGCAAACACGAAAGUGGACGUAUACGGUGUGACGCCUGCCCGGUGCCGGAAGGUUAAUUGAUGGGGUCAGCGCAAGCGAAGCUCCUGAUCGAAGCCCCGGUAAACGGCGGCCGUAACUAUAACGGUCCUAAGGUAGCGAAAUUCCUUGUCGGGUAAGUUCCGACCUGCACGAAUGGCGUAAUGAUGGCCAGGCUGUCUCCACCCGAGACUCAGUGAAAUUGAACUCGCUGUGAAGAUGCAGUGUACCCGCGGCAAGACGGAAAGACCCCGUGAACCUUUACUAUAGCUUGACACUGAACAUUGAGCCUUGAUGUGUAGGAUAGGUGGGAGGCUUUGAAGUGUGGACGCCAGUCUGCAUGGAGCCGACCUUGAAAUACCACCCUUUAAUGUUUGAUGUUCUAACGUGGACCCGUUACCCGGGUUGCGGACAGUGUCUGGUGGGUAGUUUGACUGGGGCGGUCUCCUCCUAAAGAGUAACGGAGGAGCACGAAGGUUGGCUAAUCCUGGUCGGACAUCAGGAGGUUAGUGCAAUGGCAUAAGCCAGCUUGACUGCGAGCGUGACGGCGCGAGCAGGUGCGAAAGCAGGUCAUAGUGAUCCGGUGGUUCUGAAUGGAAGGGCCAUCGCUCAACGGAUAAAAGGUACUCCGGGGAUAACAGGCUGAUACCGCCCAAGAGUUCAUAUCGACGGCGGUGUUUGGCACCUCGAUGUCGGCUCAUCACAUCCUGGGGCUGAAGUAGGUCCCAAGGGUAUGGCUGUUCGCCAUUUAAAGUGGUACGCGAGCUGGGUUUAGAACGUCGUGAGACAGUUCGGUCCCUAUCUGCCGUGGGCGCUGGAGAACUGAGGGGGGCUGCUCCUAGUACGAGAGGACCGGAGUGGACGCAUCACUGGUGUUCGGGUUGUCAUGCCAAUGGCACUGCCCGGUAGCUAAAUGCGGAAGAGAUAAGUGCUGAAAGCAUCUAAGCACGAAACUUGCCCCGAGAUGAGUUCUCCCUGAGACUUAAAGUCUCCUGAAGGAACGUUGAAGACGACGACGUUGAUAGGCCGGGUGUGUAAGCGCAGCGAUGCGUUGAGCUAACCGGUACUAAUGAACCGUGAGGCUUAACCUUACAACGCCGAAG